GAGCUUAUGAAACAUAGGAAAAUAAUAUUUUUCAUUUAAUUAAAAUUUAUCAUAGGGUGUAGCAACUUGUUGUGCAUUCAUAUUGGAGCAUUAUUUUCAUUGUAUUGUGUGGAUUUGAUUAAAGGUAAGUUAAACUGAUUUUAAAAUGAUUUUUCAAACUUGUUUUUGAAAUGGCCUUGAAACAAAAGAAAAUAAAAAGAAAAAAAAAGGGAGACAGCUCCCUGGGUCUGGCCGAGGCCCGCUUCCCUUUUCCCUCUGGCCUGCUUCCCCUCCCCCGCGGCCCGCUCCCCUCUUUGGCCCAGUACGCGCAACCGGCCCAGCUCCUGGCCUACCCCGCGCCCUCUCCUUCUCUCUUUCUCUGACCAGUGGACCCCACCCGACAGCCAGCCUUCUUCAACCCCAAGUCGGAGUCGUGCUGGACUCUCGACCGGGUGUCAAAACCCGAUACGCACGGGAUUCCUUGCCAUCCACGGUGAACCGAGCCCUAUAAAACUCCCAAAUCCACCCC
rnacentral:lncRNA from 1 species